UCCGUCGGGAGAUAUUCCACGCGAAAGCUAUGGUUCCUUUCUUGUGAUCGGGAGGUAUCAAUUGAAGUCUUUGAUGAUAGUUUCCUAUGCUGGGGAAUGGGCGUUGCAGUCUCUCUCUCGACCAAUCAGAGGGCGGAACCGAUCGAUGAUCUACCGGUUCCGAGUCUGGUGGAGCAGUGGACCUCUUAUGAGCUUUAGCAAAAGGUGCUGGAGAUGCCGGAGAUGCGUAUGCUCUACUGAAGCAAGAUUCAGUCGUAUCGGUAGAAUGCAUCCCGGAGCCAGCAAAUGUAAACAAACGUUGGACAAAGCACAAAACAAUGGGGAAAAGUCACAAAGCCUUUGGACAAGCCAUCUGGGCCCAGCGCCUGAAAAAAUUCGCACAACAAAAAUGCUGGACGCCGGACAUGGGCAGCAGGCCCGGUCCGAGACAACCAAGGGCUGUCCUUGACCUGUAUAACAAGGUCCAAAGAUGCCCACGGCAGUGCGGCAGCCAGCAGCCGCUGACCUUCCGGGGGGUGGCUGCGCUGCAAAGAGGCUGUAACUGUGGACUGCACAGUAGCCCCAGUCAUCAUGCACCAUUCUUGCAUCCUCACUAGAAUGUCAGCUGUGACUGGGUGGUCCUAUUUGAUGCUUCUAAUCACUAUUUCUGACUAAUUUAUUUGCUUGGUGUUGGACAUGUCGCUGUUUUGCUGUUUUGCUGUUU